UACGUAGGGGGCAAGCGUUGUCCGGAAUUAUUGGGCGUAAAGGGCUCGUAGGCGGUUUGUCGCGUCGGGAGUGAAAACCUACAGCUUAACUGUGGGCUUGCUUUCGAUACGGGCAGACUAGAGGUAUGCAGGGGAGAACGGAAUUCCUGGUGUAGCGGUGAAAUGCGCAGAUAUCAGGAGGAACACCGGUGGCGAAGGCGGUUCUCUGGGCAUGAUCUGACGCUGAGGAGCGAAAGUGUGGGGAGCGAACAGG
rnacentral:rRNA from 1 species